UACAGAGGGUGCGAGCGUUAAUCGGAAUUACUGGGCGUAAAGCGUGCGUAGACGGUGGCGUAAGUCGGGUGUGAAAGCCCUGGGCUCAACCUAGGAAGUGCACUCGAAACUGCGAAGCUUGAGUCCUGGAGAGGAAGGCGGAAUUCUCGGUGUAGAGGUGAAAUUCGUAGAUAUCGAGAGGAACACCGGUGGCGAAGGCGGCCUUCUGGACAGUGACUGACGCUGAGACGCGAAAGCGUGGGGAGCAAACAGG
rnacentral:rRNA from 1 species